GCCGCCGCCCCGGGCCUCCUCCCGCGCGCCUUGCACAACCCGCCCAGAUAAGUGCUGCGUCUCUGGGCAAUUACCGCCCUCCGCCGCCGGCUGGCCGGGCAGCAGGCCAGAGGCCAGGGGACUCCAGCCACCCAAGGAGAGCGGUACCCGCCGCGGGGGAGCCCCAGGCGCGGGCGAUUGCACCAACGCGGGACGCGGGACGCGGGGACGGAGGGCGGGGAGACUGCGCGGCGCGGAGACGUCACGCACAGCGGCCCCGCCCCCGAGUCUUCGCCCGGCGCCCCGGGAGGACCUGGGGCGGUCAGCGGGGCGAGGCCGCCCUGCGCUGCCAGGCUGCCGGCCAGGUGAGGAAACUGAGCUUCAGAGAAAUGAAGGGAGUUGACUGUCGCUACAGAACUGGCAAGGGGCGGCGUUGGCAAGGGUAGGAGCACGCACUCAGAGACCCAGCCAGGAAGGAAGAUUUGAUCUCCUGGGCAGGAUCCGCUUCCCAUGGCGACGCCUCCUUGAGCCGAAGCUCUGGGUCUCGGGUGCAUUCCUGUCCCAGAAGCGUGGACCUUGGGUC